CAAUCCCCCUCUAUGUCCCCCCCGUUCCCUUCCAAACCGUACCAACAAACACCCAUCCGCUCUCUAUUCUUUCUUUUCCCCACAUUUACUUGGCCUCAUUAUGUUUUAAGUGUACAGACACCACAUAAGCAAGCUACCUCAUUUCUUCUUCCUCUUCCUUCCGAAUGUUAUCUUUCUUUUUAUUCACUCUUUCAAUCUCUCUAAAUCUUUUCUUUCUAAGUUAGGACAAGGAAACCCCAUCAUAGGCAAUAUCUGCCCAAGCAAAAGCAGCAGAAAAUAACAAUCAAAACGCUUGAGGUGCUGUGAGGGCGAAAGCUCUCUUCAAGAGUGGUGGAAUAUGGAGAUUACAGUUGUAAAUCCAUCUACAAUGGGAAUUGAAGCAAGAUUGAGCUUUUUCAUGAGACUUUAUGUGAAGCAAAUGGGCUUCGGAUGCUCAUAUGAAGAAGCAUGGGGCAAUUAUAAAAGGCCUAUCAUUUUCUUCAAACUCCAAUCUCUGCAGCAAGCUCUCUUCUUCUUCAGCUUUCGCUGAUGGGAGAUGGUGGAUGUGGCGGCGGCCGCGGUGGUGAUAUUGGUGGAAUCGGCUCAAUCUUAUUGUUCAUUUAUGAAUACACUAAAUAUUUUUUUGCUGCUUAGUGCUAACAUUGUUUCUCCAUAAUGUUGGUCAGAGCAAUGGGUAUGUUGCUGCUCUCUUUGUUGAUCUUUUCCUCUCUUAAUUUUAAAAUUUUAGUGAUGCGAACUUCCUCUUUUGGCUUUAGUUAGUGCUUGUGCUUGUUUCUUGAGGU